UGGGGAAUAUUGCACAAUGGGCGCAAGCCUGAUGCAGCCAUGCCGCGUGUGUGAAGAGGGCCUUCGGGUUGUAAAGCACUUUCAGCGAGGAGGAAGGUGGUGAGCUUAAUACGCUCAUCAAUUGACGUUACUCGCAGAAGAAGCACCGGCUAACUCCGUGCCAGCAGCCGCGGUAAUACGGAGGGUGCAAGGCGUUAAUCGGAAUUACUGGGCGUAAAGCGCACGCAGGCGGUUUGUUAAGUCAGNUGUGAAAUCCCCGGGCUCAACCUGGGAACUGCAUUUGAAACUGGCAAGCUAGAGUCUCGUAGAGGGGGGCUAGAAUUCCAGGUGUAGCGGUGAAAUGCGUAGAGAUCUGGAGAAUACCGGUGGCGAAGGCGGCCCCCUGGACGAAGACUGACGCUCAGGUGCGAAA
rnacentral:rRNA from 1 species